rnacentral:pre_miRNA from 1 species
UUGGCUUAAUCUCAGCUGGCAACUGUGAGAUGUUCACAUAAUCCCUCACAGUGGUCUCUGGGGUUGUGCUAA